rnacentral:rRNA from 1 species
GACGAACGCUGGCGGCGUGCCUAAUACAUGCAAGUUGAGCGCUGAAGGUUGGUACUUGUACCAACUGGAUGAGCAGCGAACGGGUGAGUAACACGUGGGGAAUCUGCCUUUGAGCGGGGGACAACAUUUGGAAACGAAUGCUAAUACCGCAUAAAAACUUUAAACACAAGUUUUAAGUUUGAAAGAUGCAAUUGCAUCACUCAAAGAUGAUCCCGCGUUGUAUUAGCUAGUUGGUGAGGUAAAGGCUCACCAAGGCGAUGAUACAUAGCCGACCUGAGAGGGCGAUCGGCCACAUUGGGACUGAGACACGGCCCAAACUCCUACGGGAGGCAGCAGUAGGGAAUCUUCGGCAAUGGACGAAAGUCUGACCGAGCAACGCCGCGUGAGUGAAGAAGGUUUUCGGAUCGUAAAACUCUGUUGGUAGAGAAGAACGUUGGUGAGAGUGGAAAGCUCAUCAAGUGACGGUAACUACCCAGAAAGGGACGGCUAACUACGUG